rnacentral:rRNA from 1 species
GAUGAGCAUGCGUCCCAUUAGCUAGUUGGUAAGGUAACGGCUUACCAAGGCUACGAUGGGUAGGGGUCCUGAGAGGGAGAUCCCCCACACUGGUACUGAGACACGGACCAGACUCCUACGGGAGGCAGCAGUGAGGAAUAUUGGACAAUGGGCGCAAGCCUGAUCCAGCCAUGCCGCGUGCAGGAUGACGGUCCUAUGGAUUGUAAACUGCUUUUGCACAGGAAGAAACAACAUUACGUGUAAUGUCUUGACGGUACUGUGAGAAUAAGGAUCGGCUAACUCCGUGCCAGCAGCCGCGGUAAUACGGAGGAUCCAAGCGUUAUCCGGAAUCAUUGGGUUUAAAGGGUCCGUAGGCGGUU